GGCCAUAUCAUGCUGAAUAUACCGGUUCUCGUUAGAUCACCGAAGUCAAGCAUCAUUGGGCGCGGUCAGUAUUUGGGUGGGUGACCACCUG
rnacentral:rRNA from 1 species